UCUCAGGACAUUAGGCUUGGAACCCCUUAGAUCCUGAAGUAGCCACCAUUGCAGAAACAAGAGAAAGAGCCAGAGAGGGUAGGGUGCUGUGUAAGGUCACACAGUACAACAGAAACACUUGGGAGCCUGUCUGUGCCAGACCCUAUCUGAAGAAGACAUUGUUGGAGCAACAGCUUAGAGAAUCAAGGAGAAUGUGACUGUUUGUGUCUUUUAACCCACAAUGAUCCAUGCAACAGUAUCUUCCAGAUUUUCCAAUAGGCCAAAGAGAAAGUCUCCAACGAUGCUGUUAACAUCUUUUGAACACCCGUGGAUCGCGUGUGUGCUCUCCCAGUCUCUUUUGCUCUCUCUCUCACCUGGACAAAGCUGAUCUUGGACCCAGAACUUCUACAGACAAUGGGAAGAUCAUUCCCUCUCUGUCCAGUUCUUGGGAUGGCUGCAUCAAGUAUGGAGGUGCUGACGGUGGAGCCUUUCUGUAAUGAGCAUCCGCUAUGUUCCUGCUCUGUGGAAGAGCUCGAGCUUUGACCCUGGAUGCCAGACUUGGCCUACUUCUCACCCUGGCUGACAAGUGGAGCUACCCAGACCUACUCUAGAGAGCCUUUGGAUCUGGUUCUCAGGGGACCCCAGGGUCCAAGAUAGAGCAGGGCUGGACGCCCCCACGCCUCCAACAUAGCUGUUUUUUUCUGACUGGAGACAGAUCAGGGUCUGAGCACUUUUAUCUACCCUCACAAAGCUGCUGCUGCUGCUAAGUCACUUCAGUCGUGUCCGACUCUGUGCGACCCCAGAGAUGUGAGCCCACCAGGCUCCCCCGUCCCUGGGAUUCUCCAGGCAAGAACACUGGAGUGGGUUGCCAUUGCCUCACAAAACUAGAGCCCAUUUAUUCAUUUGUUCACACCCCUACCUGUGUGUGCCUCAUUCAUUCCUGGCCAUGCAAUGAAACAACUAGGAUUCUAAACACUGGAUCCAGGACCUGGGGGAUAAGACCUUUAAAUCCAGGCAUCCUCAGAAAUCCUCAGAUUUGUGUGUGUUUCUGGAGAAGGAGCUCAUGGCUGUUUUUCAGAUUCUCAACUGUGUUCAUCAUCCAAAGCAGGUUAAGAAACACUGGCUGGAGUGCAGGGACAGAAAGCUGACCCCCACCCCUACUCCAAACUCAGGGAAAGGCACUUGGAACAGCCACUCUGGAGAGCAAUUGGCCAACACCCAUGCACAGGCCAGGCUGUGUCACUCCUGUG
ensembl:lncRNA